rnacentral:rRNA from 1 species
AACGAACGCUGGCGGCAUGCCUAACACAUGCAAGUCGAACGAGACCUUCGGGUCUAGUGGCGCACGGGUGCGUAACGCGUGGGAACCUGCCCUUAGGUUCGGAAUAACUCCCCGAAAGGGGUGCUAAUACCGGAUAAUGUCCUCGGACCAAAGAUUUAUCGCCUUUGGAUGGGCCCGCGUUGGAUUAGCUAGUUGGUAGGGUAAAAGCCUACCAAGGCGACGAUCCAUAGCUUGUCUGAGAGGAUGAUCAGCCACACUGGGACUGAGACACGGCCCAGACUCCUACGGGAGGCAGCAGUGGGGAAUAUUGGAAAAUGGGCGAAAGGCUGAUCCAGCAAUGCCGCGUGAGUGAUGAAGGCCUUAGGGUUGUAAAGCUCUUUUACCCGGGAUGAUAAUGACAGUACCGGGAGAAUAAGCCCCGGCUAACUCCGUG